rnacentral:rRNA from 1 species
GAUGAACGCUAGCGGCAGGCUUAACACAUGCAAGUCGAGGGGCAGCACGGACUUCGGUCUGGUGGCGACCGGCAAACGGGUGCGGAACACGUACACAAUCUACCUUUAUCUGGGGUAUAGCCCGAAGAAAUUCGGAUUAAUCCCCCAUAAUAUAUUAGAGUGGCAUCACUUCGAUAUUAAAACUCCGGUGGAUAAAGAUGAGUGUGCGUCCCAUUAGCUAGUUGGUAGGGUAACGGCCUACCAAGGCAACGAUGGGUAGCUGGUGUGAGAGCACGACCAGCCAAACGGGCAAUGAGCCACGGGCCCGACUCCUACGGGAGGCAGCAGUUAGUAAUAUUGGUCAAUGUACGCAAGUCUGAACCAGCCCCGCGGCGUGAAGGAUGAAGGCCUUCUGGGUUGUAAACUUCUUUUAUUGGGGAAGAAAAUUACGGUUUCUACUGUAACCGACGGUACCCAAGGAAUAAGCACCGGCUAACUCCGUGCCAGCCGCCGCCGUAA